GAAAUAAGUAAGAAAAGAAAUAUUCCCCAGAGCUUCUCCAGGCUACAGCCUAUGCCACCAGGAAAGACUGAAUCAUUGAGACCCAUAGGAGAGCGUGUGCUGGGAGGUCCCUGUGGGCACCAGGGAGGUGUGUUUGAACUCCAGCCCAGCCCACAUUAGCUUACCCAACAGUCCCCAAGAGCCAGCACAAUUUCAGGCCAUAAUCUCCCUGGUCACCACUGGCUCCUCAGGUGACUUGGAGGUAGAUGACUCCUCUGUGGGCCUGGGUUAGUGCCUCAAAGGCAUGCUGACCAGCACUGGUUUGGGCCAGGCUGAGAUGCUAGCCACACUCCUAUGCCCAUCCCCAAGUUCAAAGGUCAGAAGUCCUCUGAGAACGUCCAGGGUCACUACCCCUGAGGUCUCUGGUGUACUACGUGGCCCUGAUUAGGGCAAAGGGAAGUGAUCUGAGGGCCACUCUCUUCCUGUACAUACAGGGCCUUGCUGCUCUUGAGGGAUUGUCCUGGCAGGAUCAAAAGCAGCUCCUGCAUGGGGACGCCCUGUCCUCCUGCUGUUAUCAUAGUAUGCCCUGUGCUCCCAGGAGGAGGCUGAUCUAGGUCAUAAAGGGCAUUGUGGCACCUACCUUGAUUUCUCUUGGAUCACUCAUUCUGAGGGAAGAUAGCUGCCAUGUUGGGAGGAAGUGCAAGCAGCCCUGUGAAGAGGUCAACACAGGGGGGAACUGAAGCCCCUUCCGAACAGCUAGCACCAACUUUCCAGCCAUGUAAAGUGAUCCACCUUGGAAACAGAUCCUCCAGCCUCAGCCAAGCCUUCAGAUGCAACAGCUGUUAUCAUAGUAUGCCCUGUGCUCCCAGGAGGAGGCCGAGUUUUCACGAAACCCAAAACCAAUGGUGAAGAUCUGGCAACCUUGUCAUCUGUUAGUGCUUCUGUGAUUGUGCUCUUCAUCAGGUCAUGAUUUUCUGCGAUUAUUUCUAUUUUCCCCAUCCUGUGGUCCUCUCUGCAAGCCCCUCUCUUUUAUUACCAUUUCAAUUUUCAUUUUCUGUAGCCUCAAAUCUUUGGUGAUGAAGAGGAGUACAUAUAAACAAAACCUAAACAAAUAAAUAAUGACAAUCUUUAUCUGGGGUUGG
rnacentral:lncRNA from 1 species